AGAGUUUGAUCAUGGCUCAGGAUGAACGCUAGCGGCAGGCUUAAUACAUGCAAGUCGAGGGGUAACAUGGGUAGCAAUACCUGAUGACGACCGGCAAACGGGUGCGGAACACGUACGCAACCUUCCCAUAACUGGUGAAUAGCCCUCCGAAAGGAGGAUUAAUACACCGUAACAUAACGAAGAGGCAUCUCUUUGUUAUUAUAGGCUUCGGCCGGUUUUGGAUGGGCGUGCGCCUGAUUAGGUAGUUGGCGGGGUAACGGCCCACCAAGCCUGCGAUCAGUAACUGGUGUGAGAGCACGACCAGUCACACGGGCACUGAGACACGGGCCCGACUCCUACGGGAGGCAGCAGUAAGGAAUAUUGGUCAAUGGACGAAAGUCUGAACCAGCCAUGCCGCGUGAAGGAUUAAGGCCCUCUGGGUUGUAAACUUCUUUUAUCUGGGACGAAAAAAGGGUAUUCUUACUCACUUGACGGUACCAGAGGAAUAAGCACCGGCUAACUCCGUGCCAGCAGCCGCGGUAAUACGGAGGGUGCAAGCGUUAUCCGGAUUUACUGGGUUUAAAGGGUGCGUAGGUGGGUCUGUUAGUCAGUGGUGAAAUCUCCGAGCUUAACUCGGAAACUGCCAUUGAUACUAUAGGUCUUGAAUUAUCUGGAGGUAAGCGGAAUAUGUCAUGUAGCGGUGAAAUGCUUAGAUAUGACAUAGAACACCAAUUGCGAAGGCAGCUUACUACGGAUAUAUUGACACUGAGGCACGAAAGCGUGGGGAUCAAACAGGAUUAGAUACCCUAGUAGUCC
rnacentral:rRNA from 1 species